rnacentral:rRNA from 1 species
GACGCAGGGGGCUAGCGUUGUUCGGAAUUACUGGGCGUAAAGCGCGUGUAGGCGGUUGCCAUAGUCAGGUGUGAAAGCCUUGAGCUCAACUCAAGAAAUGCACUUGAUACUGGGCGACUAGAGGACCGGAGAGGAUAGUGGAAUUCCCAGUGUAGUGGUGAAAUACGUAGAGAUUGGGAAGAACACCAGUGGCGAAGGCGGCUAUCUGGACGGUUUCUGACGCUGAGACGCGAAAGCGUGGGGAGCAAACAGG